CUUACACUGUUUAAAGAGAGAGAGAGAGAGAGCGAGAGAGAGAGAGAGGGUGUGAUGACUCUUGUGUUAUUUUCCCAUGACUAAUCCACCCAACUUGUCGAGUGUGAAGGUAGCUGAAUCCACUGCUCGGAGUGUAUUAUUUGACAUGGGUUACAAAAGAAUUGAAGUGAAACCAAGCAAGUGGAGAUUUCUUUUGACUCUGCACCAUCUUGCUGUUCAUUUCUAACCUCAAGUCACGCGGUGGAAAACAAUGCGGGCCUCUUUCAACACCGUGACACACCCAACGCAACCACAUGUGAAGAAAAAUGCUUCGGAGACUCUUCAUGUUUACUCUUGAAGCAAAAUGUUUCUUUUUCGUUGGCCUGUUUGCUGUUUUUUACUAGCAUUUCAUAAAUCGGCCUACGUUUGGGCGGGAUAUGACGUCUCAGAAGUCACAUGUUCGCAGGGUCUCUCUGAGUGCACCGUGGCGGAUGAGAUGCCGCUCGGCAUCUCGGAGAGUGAUGGUGCUGAUGUGCAGAUGGUGACAGCUAAAGUGGAGGUGUGCUGCAAGGACAACGCGCCGUGCACGUUGUGUCUGCUGGUAGACGCCGAACUCUCCAUCCAUGUGGGUGAAGACGUGGAUAAAAGCCACUCAGGGCACGACACGGAGAAUGACAGAGAGGAGGCAACAAUUUCGACAGCAGCGUCUGUGACGUUAUGUUACAAAACACCGCCGACUUUUCCAGCAUGCAAGAGGGUGGACUUCACUGUCUGUCCUACAGAACUUAAGCAGAAAGUGGCAAAGGUGUCCUUGGUGAUUACUAAUCCAGCUGGGGUUUCCUUCAGCAGUAUUGUGUACAUUUAUCCUUCGAAAGCGUUGCAUCUAAUUGAAGUCGUGGCUCCCUCUCUAAAUGAAGUGUGCUCCCAAAACCUGCAGAAAUCCAUCAAAGACUGUUACAUGCCCACAGUCAACAGUGUAAUUAACCAAGAAAUGAACCAAGUGGAGCUGAAAUUUGCUGCAAGGCACAAAGUAUGCAUCCAGUAUGAGGCAGAUGGAAGAUGCCAGAGUUGGGAGAGUAAAACCAUCCCACUGCACUCUGUGACCCCCUGCUUGUGUCUCCAGGUUUGGGAUGAUGACAAGCCCAGACGCUCUCAGAGCUGCCCCUUCAAAAACAUGGGUUUCCUUCAGAAGAACGUAUGGCAGAACCUGACCGCCUCUGUGCGCCACGGUCGAAUGAACAACAAGGGUCAAAUGCUGCUGUGGAACUUGUCCGCCCCAUGCAGGCUGGAGGGGGAGGUGUGGCCCUGUCGGUGGACUUCGGGUCACCAUUGCACUGAAAUUGAGGGUUUCCGGCAGCAGCUGGAGAAUACGACAUGGGAGCAAAACAGUAACGUGCAAUGGGUCAAAAUGGGUGUUUUUGAAGACAUUAAUCUGCAGCUGUCACCGUGUGUGAUGGUGAAUUUAAGGGGCGGGGGCCUUCACCUCGGGCCUUUCUGCUCUCAUCACAUCAUUGCAGCCGCAAGGUGGCGCUGGAAUCUGCUUGCUGUGGCUGUUUUGCUGGUGAUCGCCUUGGCAGCACUGAUGUCAUGUCUUCGUCAUGACUUUGUCAAGAAAUGGGCGAGCCACUCUUUCCGUGGAGGAUGUGCAGAGAUUGGCAGGAAAGGUCACGUGGUGCUCCUGAGUCCCCCAGAUAUUCACGAUGGUUUUUCUGAGGUUUGUGGCCUGGGCUCCCUGCUGAAGAGCCAGGGCUUCAGUGUGUCUGUGGACCAGUGGAGCAGGAUGGAGCAGUGCAACCUGGGGCCCCUGCCGUGGCUUCACUCCCAGCUGCUGCACGUGAAGAACCUGGGAGGCCGCGCGGUGCUCAUCUUGACUCGCAAAGCCUUGGGGCUGGCGCACGAGUGGAGCCGGCAGCAGCCGGAAGCUCUCCAGGCGGGGAGAGGAGACGGGAACGUGCCUCAGUCGCCGUACUCGGAUGUGUUCAUGGCCUCGCUGUGCCUCCUCCUGGUGGACAAGCGGCAAGGGAGGACUGGAGAACGUUUUCUCCUGGUCACGUUUGACCAGGACGUGGUGCAGCCUCCUGGUAGCUUACCAGAGCCGUUUCAGGGCCUUCAUUUGUUCCAGCUUCCCUCACAGAUGAAAACUCUGUUGUGUGAACUCGCCGGGGGAGGAAACAGGAAGGUAGACGGUGGAAAGUCAAAGGCCGGCUGGAAAUGGGGAAUCUUGGAUGGAUGGAAAUUAAAGACUAAACAUACAACAUGCAGCCAGGGAGCAAUACCUACACAGUGUAAAUAAUCUGGAAUUUAGAGAUCAUGUUGAACAUUUGUUGCACUGUGGAAGGAAGAGACAUAACAAAGGGUAAGAAAUGUCAUGAGAAUAUGACUGAAAUGUUAUUUUACUGGUGUUCUUUAUUUACUGGAUUGUCAUAGUUGGAUGGUAAAUGAUCUCGUAGGAUUAACAAAAACAGCAGUUAUCGUUAUAUCACAGCAAUGGAGGGUCGCACAUUUUGUUAGCCCAAAAGCAUAAGUUAUUAAGUUAUUUUUUAGCUUACUGUCAAGAUAGUAAUUAAAACAAGAUAAGGUGGUUGCUAAAAAUGUAUUUAUUUUUUUUCUUUAAUUGCAUGGCGCAAAUAGUAGAAUUUAGAUCUGUCCAAAUAUGAGAUCCAAUACAAGAACAGUACAUGCGACUAGUUUGGUAUAAAAAUAAUGAUUGAUAAUACCGAGUCACGUUACGGACUUAAUGAGGAUAACGGAGCUUGUUGACAGAAAGAAAGUCACUUUUAUUUGAUGGAUAGAAACAAGCUGGCCAACACUCAAUAGUAAUAUUCGGUUACAGCACACACAAUAGCAAGCUGGGGCGCACAGGACAGCCUCCUAGCUUGAAAAACAGGAAACAUUUAAGAGGAUCCAUGCUUCUGGCAAAACUUCCCCCACAGUUUUUCUUUUAUAGGUUCAUCCUUUAAUAGAUUGUUUCACAUCACUUUUCCUCUUGUAUUUUAACACACACACACACACACACACACACACACACACACGCUCAUUGCCUUAAAAUAAUAAAUGCCCCCACACACGCUGUGUUUCUGAAUAACAUUUACACCAGCAACCCCAAAACACAUGCUGCACUCUCACAAAUCUGAACAGGCUGUUUACUAAAGGGUGGAUUGGGGUGGGGGUCACAGUUAAAUGAGACGCACAUCACUCUCAAACACUGACAUCACACCGCCACGAUGCAAGGGUAAGGAAUGAUGCUCCACGUUCACACAAGUAAUCAUUCAGCAUGCUGGACACUCACAUUGAACUUGCUCCUAUAGGUCAGUACUGUACAGCUCAGAACAAUUUACUUUUACAAAUAGUACAGUCUCCAACUGGCAUCUGCAACAAGCGGAAACGAUAGAAAAAAAAUAAAGCUAACUUAAUACAAAAAUGAAUAUAAAAACAAAUUUUUUUUUUCUGGCAUUGAUCACAGUGAUUUGUUCAAUAUAAGGUUUUUGUACAGUUAAAAAAACAAACAAAGUGAAAGUGUUUUAAGCUCUGUAUAGUUCCCCCCCUCCCCCCCCAAAGUCAUGGAAAUAUCACGCACACAGCAUUAGUCAAUGUUUGACCUCGCUGUGGAGGCAUCUGGCUGCACAGAGAACAGCACAUAAUGUAAACAAAAAAAUACAAUAAAAUAAUAAUAAUAAAUCAGCACAAAUGGGCACGUUUGAAAUGCAAAUGAUAUAUUUCAUGGUAGGAGAAGCCCCUACUUCAAGUAUUCAGUGGAUAAGGACCUGAAAAGGGAGGCUUCAUACUCAGCCCUCCUGAUGGUAAAGUGAGAGGAUUUCAUUUAUUGAUGGAUUUUUCUUUAUUUUUGAAAUUAUUAUUAUUAUUAUUUUUUGCUCCUCUGUCUGUUUGUAUUGUCUUACUCUAUAAAACAAAACCUUAUCAUGAUCAUACUGCUGAUAAUUGUAAACACAAACACAAUCUGGAGAUUCUUGAAGCUUCAUGUAGAAAGCAGAUGAUGCCUUAGUUGUGGAAGGUUGGAAAAAUACACGUAUAUUUAUAUAUAUUUAUGUAUAUAUUCACCAACCAACACUUGGCCAAUACUGAGGAGACAUCAUGUGAGGAAGAGGGGGGGGGGGGGGGGGGGGGGGGCGACGAAAUGGAGGAGUUUAGUAACAGUCGAAUUCAGUUUCCACUAAACUGAAACGUGUCAUAUAUCACCACUUGUGUAUACAGGACGACAACACAAGAAAAGCCACGAAAAAGAAAAUGAAGAUCCUGACAGAGUCACUCCGCACGUGUUCAUAGUGAUAUCUUCACUCACAAGUGCAAGUUCUAAACGGGCAGCACACAUCAUUGCUUUAAUGGAAGUUGCUAAAGUUUAUUUUUUUUCUUCCUCUGAUUUGUCACAACGGGCCAACUAAGUGUGAACGCAGAGGUUUUCAAAGUGUGGAACAGUGAACCUCCCUUAUUUUAAAAACGCCGUCUCAAGGCAAAACCUCAUUGCAAGGUCUUGUGAGAUUUCAAACCAGGGAAUUAUUAUUAUUAUUUGUUUUUUAGAUGAUUCCAGUAAUUCAUCACUGCACACUAUGCAGUGCUACAUUUUUGGCAUCUCAACAUCGUUAUGUACAGUUUGUAAGUCAUUUUAAUAUCUUGCCAAGACUGCCAUCAUUAACAAAGUGAUUUUCUGGAACCAAUUUUGAGUUUAUUGCUUCCCACAAUCUCCUCGCUCUGUAGAUGCAAAAAAAUCAAAAAAAAUCAAUUCUGCUUCUCGCUGAAGUUAGCGUUGCAGGUUUCAAAAUAUAUUGUUUUUCUUUAUUUCUCUCAAGCUGCUGCGCAUCCCCUGAAGUACUUUAGCUCACACUUUGAAAACCUCUGGACUAAGCUGGAGGAAGGAAUGUAAUAUUGGAAAAAGGAAUGUACAUUUAUUUUCUACAAAGAUUUAGAUGAGCGUUAUUCUUUCUUUCUUUCUUUUUUGCGCUGUAUGUCUGUAUUUUCAGACAGGGAAUGUUAGUCUCUAAGGAUUUUUCUCCAGAUGUACAAAAGACACUUAACAUACUUCACAACCCCACCAUUCAGUUAGAAAAAAAAGAAACAGCAUUUUCUUUUUUAAAUCUCGUCAGUUUGAAACUAAUUUAUAACCACAUAUAGACACACUCGAUAUAUUUCUCUCUAUGUAUAAUAUAUGCAUAUCUAUAAUAUAUGUGUACAUUUUUAUUUCGAUUUUUUAAAGGAGGCCACCUUGUUGAGAGGGACUGAAACAGGUCACUACGUUUGGGGAUGUGGCGCAGACAACUUGUGGAAGGGAUUCAGAAGGUUCAGGUGGAUUGGUGGAUGCAUGGUACUUCAAGAAAAAAAGCACCAAGUACAGGACACCUCUUCCUAAUUAUUGGAUUUAAAGUAUUCUUGACACUCUUUAGGGGUUCUUCAAUUGGCAUAAUGUAUGUACAAAAUUGUCUACUGCUAAUUUUUAUGGAGCCUACUCAGCUGUAGUAGACGCUAUAGACUCCCUUGACCCACGGACACCAUUUAUAUCACCUGCAGCAGGAGCACCAUGAGUUUAAAACAAAACCAAAAAAAACAUCCUGCAACAAGAGGUGUGUGGGUGCAUAGUCUCUUUCCGAAAUCUGGCAGAUUCUUUUAUUCUUAUAUAUUUUUUUUGGCUACUCUGAUUGGGUGAGUAAUUACACUUUGAACACAGAGCGUGAAUUAAAUUCUUUCAUGCAACACUGACGUCUGCAUAGAUUGAUUUUUUUUUUUUUCUCGCUAUGUUGGAUUGAAAUGAGGUAAUAUGAAGAUGGUGGCAAACUCAAGCAAAAAAAGCUGGAGGGCCCUCAUGUUCAUUUCAAGGCACCUCGUCCAAAAUGGCCACAGAACAACAAAAAGCAUUGAAGUCUUCAUCGGUGGCAUGCUCUCUCCAUUCUCACAUUUGGGACAGCACACGUUGGACACGAGCUGACAUGAGUAAAAAGCAUGGGGGGUCAACAGGGCAGUAAAGAUGAAGACAUGGUGGAGGCAGCCAGAUCCAAAUGAGUCCGUCAGGCUUUGGGGGGAAGCAGACAGCAAAGGCGGUCACGACCUUGAAGCAAUCCCGAGGUGGAAGCCAGGAAGGAAGAAUACGGCGCUUUGACCAGGUGGAGAACAGGACAUGCGAUCUCCUGAGGAGGACUAGUGUUCAGCAGCUGGCAAGUGCAAUGAAAAAAAUGUGUAAGGAAGAGUAGGCAGGAUGUGUUGGGUCUUUUUUUUUUUUUUUGUUAUCCACUCCAUGCCUAUAAUGUACAGUAUUUCUGUUCUUGUACAGGAAGCUGAGAAGGUCUGCUCCAAGGUCACCUAAAGAAAAGCAUGGAAGUCACACAAUGGGCAUUGUCGUACAGUACUUAAUGAGCUAGUCAUUGUAGAAAUCAAUUCAUUGAACACAUUGUUAUUACAAUCACUAUUUUUUGUAAUUAAAAUGUCACAAAACGUAUACCCUGAAUUAAAGAGGAUCUCAUCUCAUUUUA